GACGGGGGAUGCGAGCGUUAUCCGGAAUGAUUGGGCGUAAAGGGUCCGCAGGUGGCCCGGUCAGUCCGCUGUCAAAGCCUGGGGCUCAACCCUGGAGAGGCGGCGGAGACCACCAGGCUUGAGUCCGGUAGGGGCAGAGGGAAUUCCUGGUGUAGCGGUGAAAUGCGUAGAGAUCAGGAAGAACACCGGUGGCGAAAGCGCUCUGCUAGGCCGUAACUGACACUGAGGGACGAAAGCUAGGGGAGCGAAUGGG
rnacentral:rRNA from 1 species